rnacentral:lncRNA from 1 species
CUUCCCCAAAGUCUGAGAGGUUUUUUUUUUUCUUCUCAGGCAUUGUUCAGUGUACAGCUGGGCUGACUAAAAAGCCCUGAGCCCCUGUGUGUGAAUUUUAAAGGAACCCUGCAAGAUCAAUUUAAUAUUGAUAUUGUACCAUCAGUGCCACCAAGACAUGUGAUGUCCAGACUUGCCUAUGCUUAUUCAGGCCCUGAGUGACAGAGCACGAAUUCAACCCAGGAUGUCAGAUGCAUUUGCUAUACAACAAAAAUGGACAGGAUGCUGACUGUGAGUGCUCUCCAUGAAGGCAUGAGGAUCUGAGUUCAAACCUUCCAGUCCCACAGAAAAAAGCUGAGCACAGCUGCACGUGUCUGAAACUUUAGUCAUGUUGGGCAGAAACAGGAGGAUCUCUGGAACUUGUUGGCUGCCAGCUUAGCUCCAUAUUCAGUGAGUCUCAGAGACAUAAGGCAAGAUACCUUAUUUCCUCCUCUGGCCUCUGUGAGUGUAAUACAUUAGCAUAUACACAUUCACUCACACGCACACCCCCCACAUACACAUAUGCACAUGCAUGUACACACAUAUACACAUGCACAUACACACAUGCAUAAUGCACAUAUAUACACUUUGCACACACAUAUGCACACCACAUAUACACAAGCACACACCACAUGCACACAAU